AUGGGGGACUCUAGCGACGCCGUCAUGGCGCGGUGGCUGCAGUCCGCGGGGCUGCAGCACCUCGCGGCCUCGUCGGCGGGCCCCGCCGGGGACCAACGCGGCGCCGGCGUGGGGGGCCUUGGAGGCGCCGCCGGAGGAGCGGGCAUGCUGCCUAGUCUGCUCAUGCAGGGCUAUGGACCACAGUCAGUUGAAGAGAAACAAAGGCUAUAUAUGCUGUUGAGAAACUUGAAUUUUAACGGAGAAUCUUUGCCUGCAUCAGUCUCUGAGCCCUAUACACCAACUGCUCAGAAAUUUGGCAGUGGGACUUCCGCAGAGGGUCUGUAUUCACCUGAACUUAGAGGUGAACUUGGAGCUGGUCUUCUGGAUCUCCAUGCUAUGGAUGACACUGGACUUCUUUCUGAGGAUGUAGAUUCAGAACCAUUUGAGCCUUCACCCUUUAUGCCAAAGGAAAUUGAUGAUGAUGAGGAUGAUAUGAUAACAGGAAGCCAGCUAGGUCCAGCUGAUAACUAUAAUGCAGUGACGAGUGAAAAGGAGAUCAAUACUAGAGAAAAUAAUGUAGCGAAGAUCAAAGUUGUGGUAAGAAAGAGGCCCCUGAACAGAAAAGAGUUAUCUCGAAAGGAAGAUGAUGCUGUAGCUGUGCAUGAUUCAUCUUCUUUGACAGUUUAUGAACCUAAGCUGAAGGUCGACUUGACAGCUUAUGUGGAGCAGCAUGAAUUUUGUUUUGACGCUGUCCUGGAUGAGGAUGUUUCUAAUGACGAGGUGUAUCGUGAGACAGUGGAACCCAUUAUACCAAUAAUAUUCCAGAGAACAAAAGCGACAUGUUUUGCUUAUGGACAAACAGGUAGUGGGAAGACAUACACAAUGCAACCUUUGCCUCUGAGAGCUGCUCAAGACAUGAUUCGUCUUUUGCAUCAACCUGUCUACCGGAAUCAAAAUUUUAAGCUGUGGCUCAGCUACUUCGAGAUAUACGGUGGGAAACUCUAUGAUCUUCUAUCAGACAGAAGACACUUACUGAUGAGGGAGGAUGGCAAGAAACAAGUUUGCAUAGUCGGUCUGCAGGAAUUUGAGGUUUCUGAUGUCCAGGUUGUCAGGGAAUAUAUUGAGAGGGGAAAUGCAGCAAGGAGCACAGGGUCUACAGGGGCCAAUGAAGAGUCAUCGAGGUCACAUGCCAUUCUGCAACUGGCUGUGAAGAAGCAUAUUAUAGUAACUGAAACUAGGAGACAAAGGGACAGGGAUGCCAAUGAAGCUAAAAACACAAAGGCAGUGGGAAAAAUAUCUUUUAUUGAUCUUGCUGGAAGCGAACGUGGCGCUGAUACAACAGAUAAUGAUAGGCAGACAAGAAUUGAAGGUGCAGAGAUAAACAAGAGCCUCCUUGCUCUGAAGGAAUGCAUCCGGGCCCUUGACAAUGAUCAGAUACACAUUCCUUUCAGAGGAAGCAAGCUCACAGAGGUUCUCCGUGACUCAUUUGUUGGCAACUCUAGGACGGUGAUGAUUUCUUGCAUUUCUCCCAAUGCAGGUUCAUGUGAACACACGUUAAAUACGUUGAGAUAUGCCGAUAGGGUUAAAAGUCUUUCAAAGGGUGGCAACACAAGAAAGGAGCAGUCUACUGCACCAACUAUUCCUUCCAUGAGGGAGUCUUCAUCUGCUCCAUCCUAUCCUUUAUCUGUUGAGGCUGAAGAAGUACCCAACCAGAUCCAGGAGAAGAGACCUGUCGAUAUAUCUAGGAGAGGCGCUGAAAAUUUUACCUCCAACUCUUCGAUGGAGCCUGACAGGAAUAACUUUAGUAUGAUCCCAAGUUAUUCUAAUAGAGGAAAAGAGGAAAACGGUGCAUCUGGUUUGAAUGAUAGGGAGAGGGUUGAUUUCAGUUCUGGCCGAACUGUUUACAACAGUAAAGCACAGUUAAUUCAGAAUUCAGCAAAUGCACAAGAGGAUGAAAAGGUUACGAGAGUCUCACCUCCCAGGAGGAAGGUCAUAAGGGAAGACAAGUCUGAAAAGCAGAACUACAUGAAAAAGGAUAGUGGAAUCGAGGCAAGUCGGCCUGGAUAUAAGGUGCAGCAGGUAAGGCAGUUGCAACAGCAGCAACGACCAACAUCUGCUUCAGCUUCUCAGGUUUCAAGGCAAUCUGAAAAAGAAAGUUCAUGUGAUGAUGUGGAGAUAGAUGCCAUUCUCGAGGAAGAGGAGGCCCUCAUUGCAGCUCACAGGAAGGAAAUCGAGAAUACAAUGGAGAUCGUGCGCGAAGAGAUGAACCUUCUGGCAGAAGUUGACCAACCAGGCAGCCUUAUUGACGACUAUGUGACACAAUUGAGCUUUCUUUUGUCACGCAAGGCUGCAGGCUUGGUCAGCCUCCAAGCACGCCUUUCAAGGUUUCAACAGCGCCUCAAAGAGCAGGAGAUCCUUAGCCGGAAGAAAUCAUCCAGAUAG
rnacentral:rRNA from 1 species